rnacentral:rRNA from 1 species
AUUGAACGCUGGCGGCAUGCUUUACACAUGCAAGUCGAACGGUAGAGGGGGCAACCCCUUGAGAGUGGCGAACGGGUGAGUAAUGCAUCGGAACGUGCCCAGUCGUGGGGGAUAACGCAGCGAAAGCUGUGCUAAUACCGCAUACGAUCUCUGGAUGAAAGCGGGGGACCGAAAGGCCUCGCGCGAUUGGAGCGGCCGACGUCAGAUUAGGUAGUUGGUGGGGUAAAGGCUCACCAAGCCAACGAUCUGUAGCUGGUCUGAGAGGACGACCAGCCACGCUGGGACUGAGACACGGCCCAGACUCCUACGGGAGGCAGCAGUGGGGAAUUUUGGACAAUGGGCGCAAGCCUGAUCCAGCAAUGCCGCGUGCAGGAAGAAGGCCUUCGGGUUGUAAACUGCUUUUGUACGGAACGAAAAGGUCUGGGUUAAUACCCUGGGCACAUGACGGUACCGUAAGAAUAAGCACCGGCUAACUACGUGCCAGCCGCCGCAGUAA